rnacentral:tRNA from 1 species
GCGCUCAUAGCUCAGCUGGAUAGAGCACUUGGCUACGAACUAAGGGGUCGGGAGUUCGAAUCUCUCGGAGCGCACCA